rnacentral:hammerhead_ribozyme from 1 species
AUCCAACUGACGAGUCUCAACUAGGAGAAGACGCGCGUCUUGUAU